UAAUACCCGAAUCAACUGGCCCACACAGAAGGAAGGGUGUACAAGUGUGCACUCUGUGUGUGGAGCUUGCUACCAGCUUAGAUACAGACUGGCACCCACAACCUGAGCCUAUCAGAGUUGUACAGGGUAGAUUGUUGUUGACCCAGGCUGGUGACACUAACAGCUUUGGCACUCUUAGAUGGUGUUCAAUUACACCACUUGCUUGACCACCCGGGCUUCUGACCUAUCAGCUAGACUGUGGUGCAAUGGACCACAAUGGCACUUACGGGUAACGGGGAAUCAGGGUUCGACUCCGGAGAGGGAGCGUGAGAGAUGGCUACCACUACCAAGGUGGGCAGCAGGCACGUAAAUUGCCCACUACAGACACAACCUGUGAGGCAGCAACGAACUAGAAUAAUCCUGUUGGCUAUGUGUGUUGACAUGACUUNUAAUGGAUACUAUCUNAACACAGUCAUGAGUAUCUUUUAGG
rnacentral:rRNA from 1 species